rnacentral:rRNA from 1 species
GCGUUACUCGGAAUUACUGGGCGUAAAGCGUGCGUAGGCGGUUUGUUAAGUUCGUUGUGAAAGCCCUGGGCUCAACCUGGGAAUUGCAGUGGAUACUGGCGAGCUAGAGUGCGGUAGAGGAUGGUGGAAUUCCCGGUGUAGCGGUGAAAUGCGUAGAGAUCGGGAGGAACACCCGUGGCGAAGGCGGCCAUCUGGACCAGCACUGACGCUGAGGCACGAAAGCGUG